UAUUGUUAAUGAUUGGCUUUGAAAGGUAG
rnacentral:piRNA from 1 species